rnacentral:rRNA from 1 species
CAAUAGCGUAUACUAAUGUUGUUGCAGUUAAAAAGCUCGUAGUUGAACUUCUGGUAGGAGUGUCCCGGCCUUUUUGUUUUUACAAAUUGUAUGCUGUGUGACAUCUCUGGCCAUCCUUCUUCUUUGUUUAACGAAGAUCUUUCACUGUAAAAAAAUUAGGGUGUUCAAAGCAAAAGUUUCUUUGGAAUAUAUUAGUAUGGGAUGAUAAGAUAGGCUCUAGAUGCUAUUUUGUUGGUUUGCACAUUUAGAGAAUGAUUAACAGGGACAGUUGGGGGUAUUCGUAUUUACAUGUCAGAGGUGAAAUUCUUGGAUUUUGGAAAGACGAACUACUGCGAAAGCAUUUACCAAGGAUGUUUUCAUUAA